AUGGCUGCCAAUACACCCACAACUGAUGGAACUGGAGGACAGUCAGCGAUGGACGAACGGAUCCUGAAAGCAGCCACCUCUGGUAUUUUCUGGGACAUUGAGGUGUUGGCUACAAAGAGUCCAAGCAUUCUUCUUGGAGUAACUCCGCAAGGGAACAACUGCCUCCACAUAUCCACCAUUCAUGGGCACGAAGAGUUCUGCUUGUAUGCGUUGGCACUAGAGCGUUCUCUCCUUGAGAAUGUCAACUGCGAGAACGAGACUCCGCUUGUAAUUGCUGUUUCACUUGGCCAUGCCUCUUUGGCUUCUAAAUUGCUCCAGCAAUGCUGUGGAAGACCACGAUUGAGUCGAGCAAUCUUGCAACAAGACAGGUAUGGAUUUAAUGCACUGCACCAUGCUAUUCGCAACGGCCACAAGCAACUUGCGCUAGAUUUGAUAGCAGAAGAGCCUGCCCUGUCAGGAGCUGUGACCAGAUACAAUGAGUCACCCAUGUUCAUCGCCGUGAUGAGGAAUUUUGUAGAUGUUUUGGAAAACCUACUAGACAUUGUCGAUUCUUCUCAUAUGGGACAGUAUGGAUGCCAUGCUCUUCAUGCUGCAGCUAGAAAUGGAAAUAAAGAUAUUGCUCUCCAAAUUAUGAAGAAACGUCCUCGCUUGGCCACAGAAGCUGACUGGGAUGGGAUAACUCCAUUAAGAAUGGCUAUAUCUUAUAACAAGGUUGAUGUGCUACAAGUAUUGCUGGAACAGCGUUCUUCUUUAGCCUAUGAAACCGACAAAGAUGGCUAUCCUCUCCUCUAUUCUGCUGCAACUCGGGGUCAAGUUGAUGUUGCUCGUGCACUUCUCAAAUUUUGUCCAGAUGCUUUCUAUUGCCGUCUGGUAAUUGAAAAGAGUCCAAUAAUUGGAGAGAGUUCAUUAAGUGGUGAUACCUUGACAUGCCUUCAAAUAGCUGUAAAAAAUGGCCAUCUGGAGUUUGUCAAAUUUAUCUUGCAGACACGACAACUUCGGAAACUUAUUAACAUGCAAGACAAGGUUGGAAGAACCGCUCUACAUUACGCAGUCGAGCAAUGUGAUCCUAGACUUGUUGCUGCUUUAUUAUCUCAUGGGAGUAUAGACCCAACAAUUUUGGACAACCGAGGGAAUUCAGCGGCUUCGCAAUUGUCGAGCAUCACAAUUGUUGACAAGACUUUGGACUGGAAGGAAGUGCACGUUCUCAUGUCAAAAGCUGAUCCCAAUGAUGAUGACAUCUCCUUGUAUAAUCUUCGCAAGGGGGCCAAGAAACAGGAAAAUAUUAGAUCAAGGAGGCAGAGAGAGUCAAUGACGCAAAAAUACAGAAGCAACACAUCAUUAGUGGCAAUCCUCCUUGCAACAAUCACCUUUACUGCUGCUUUCACUCUACCCGGAGGAUAUAGCAGUGAUUCUGGAAAUGCGGGACUUGCCACCAUGUCUGGAAAGGUUACAUUUAUAGUAUUCUUGAUCUUUGACACCUUAGCAAUGUGCUCUGCAUUUGUUGUUGCCUUUAUAUGCCUCAUGGGAAAGUGGGAGGAUGAUAAAUUCACAACCUGUUACAUCUUUGUAACUAAGAAGCUCACCUGGUUUGCAUACUUGGCAACAGUUACGGCUUUUUCAACUGGAUUGUACACGGUCCUGGCGCCACGUAUCCACUGGUUGGCCAUUCUGAUUUGCUCUCUGGUAGCUUUUUUCUUCAUUCUUACUAUUUUUAUAGCAAAAUGGCCUUCCUUGAAGCUCAGUUUUCGGUUGGGUCAAACUUGGCAUGACUUGGAGCUCAAAUUUCUGCAAUGGUUUGACCUCCAAUUCCAAUUUCAGUAA
rnacentral:rRNA from 1 species